AGGUCUGUUGUCUACCUUUCCAAGACACUUGAUUCUUUAACAACCAGAUGACCACCCUGUCUGUGGUGAUUUCCUCAGUGGCCCCCUCAUAAAGGAAGCUUAAAAAUUGACUUUUGGACACAAACUCUUGUUUCUUCCUGUUCCCUGGAGACUCUCAUCAAGGCCCCAUCAGACUGCGGAUGUCUAAUUCCUGAGCCAUACAUUAUCAGACACUAUUUCUGGAAACAGCGGCUUCAAACUCUGGCUACUUUGCUGCCUGAGGAUGACCCCUCGUUGCCUCACUACAAUUGUACUGAGGUCAUUGAUCACCUCACGGGACUUCGACCUUAUCUAGUGGAUAAGCCAUUAUCUAGAGUUCCAUCCUACUUCUCUGAUGGAAGCAGCUACGUCUAUCAAGUCUCCCCCAGACUUUUCAGCCAGCUCUGACUUCCAUCCACUGGUUAUUUCGCUGCUGCCCACUGCGAGCUAAAGAGCCUAGGCACCUAGACAAGCA
rnacentral:lncRNA from 1 species